AUGAAAGGAAAAUCCUGCCGAGGCAAUCAUAUUUGUUUUGGUAGAUAUGCUCUUCAAGCACUUGAAUCCGCUUGGAUCACGGCGAGACAGAUAGAAGCAGGACGAAGAGCAAUAACACGAUAUGCACGUCGUGGUGGAAAAAUAUGGGUACGUAUAUUUCCCGACAAACCGGUUACACUAAGACCCACGGAAACACGUAUGGGCUCGGGAAAGGGGUCCCCCGAAUAUUGGGUAUCCGUUGUUAAACCUGGUCGUAUACUUUAUGAAAUGGGGGGAGUAUCUGAAACUGUAGCUAGAGCAGCUAUCUCCAUAGCUGCCAGUAAAAUGCCCAUACGAAGUCAAUUUAUUCGAUUAGAGAUAUAG
rnacentral:rRNA from 1 species